AACGAACGCUGGCGGCAUGCCUAACACAUGCAAGUCGAACGAGACCUUCGGGUCUAGUGGCGCACGGGUGCGUAACGCGUGGGAACCUGCCCUUAGGUUCGGAAUAACUCCCCGAAAGGGGUGCUAAUACCGGAUAAUGUCUUCGGACCAAAGAUUUAUCGCCUUUGGAUGGGCCCGCGUUGGAUUAGCUAGUUGGUAGGGUAAAAGCCUACCAAGGCGACGAUCCAUAGCUGGUCUGAGAGGAUGAUCAGCCACACUGGGACUGAGACACGGCCCAGACUCCUACGGGAGGCAGCAGUGGGGAAUAUUAGACAAUGGGCGAAAGCCUGAUCCAGCAAUGCCGCGUGAGUGAUGAAGGCCUUAGGGUUGUAAAGCUCUUUUAACCGGGAUGAUAAUGACAGUACCGGGAGAAUAAGCUCCGGCUAACUCCGUG
rnacentral:rRNA from 1 species